rnacentral:tRNA from 1 species
GCCUGAGUGGCUCAGUCAGUUAAGCAUCUGACUUUGGCUCAGGUUAUGAUCUCACGGUGUGUGAGUUCAAGCCCCACGUCUGGCU